UACAGAGGGGGCAAGCGUUGUUCGGAAUUACUGGGCGUAAAGGGCGCGUAGGCGGCCCGCUAAGUCGAACGUGAAAUCCCCGAGCUCAACUCGGGAACUGCGUCCGAUACUGGUGGGCUUGAAUCCGGGAGAGGGAUGCGGAAUUCCAGGUGUAGCGGUGAAAUGCGUAGAUAUCUGGAGGAACACCGGUGGCGAAGGCGGCAUCCUGGACCGGCAUUGACGCUGAGGCGCGAAAGCUAGGGGAGCGAAUGGG
rnacentral:rRNA from 1 species